rnacentral:lncRNA from 1 species
AAAACCAUAUACAAGUUCUGCCCGACCAUUUGAACGCAAGUUUGAAAGUCCUAAAUUCAAUCACAAUCUUCUGCCAAGUGAAACUGCACAUAAACCUGACUUGUCUUCAAAAACUCCCACUUCUCCAAAAACUCUUGUGAAAUCGCACAGUUUGGCACAGCCUCCUGAGUUUGACAGUGGAGUUGAAACUUUCUCUAUCCAUGCAGAGAAGCCUAAAUAUCAAAUAAAUAAUAUCAGCACAGUGCCUAAAGCUAUUCCUGUGAGUCCUUCAGCUGUGGAAGAGGAUGAAGAUGAAGAUGGUCAUACUGUGGUGGCCACAGCCCGAGGCAUAUUUAACAGCAAUGGGGGCGUGCUGAGUUCCAUAGAAACUGGUGUUAGUAUAAUUAUCCCUCAAGGAGCCAUUCCCGAAGGAGUUGAGCAGGAAAUCUAUUUCAAGGUCUGCCGGGACAACAGCAUCCUUCCACCUUUAGAUAAAGAGAAAGGUGAAACACUGCUGAGUCCUUUGGUGAUGUGUGGUCCCCAUGGCCUCAAGUUCCUGAAGCCUGUGGAGCUGCGCUUACCACACUGUGCGUCCAUGACUCCUGACGGUGAUCCUAAAACCUGGCAAAACAAGUGUCUUCCCGGAGAUCCAAAUUAUCUCGUUGGAGCAAACUGUGUUUCUGUCCUUAUUGACCACUUUUAACUCUUGAAAUAUAGGAACUUAAAUAAUGUGAAACUGGAUUAAACUUAAUCUAAAUGGAACCACUCUAUCAAGUAUUAUACCUUUUUUAGAGUUGAUACUACAGUUUGUUAGUAUGAGGCAUUUGUUUGAACUGAUAAAGAUGAGUGAGCAUGCCCCUGAACCAUGGUCGGAAAACAUGCUACACACUGCAUGUUUGUGAUUGACGGGACUGUUGGUAUUGGCUAGAGGUUCAAAGAUAUUUUGCUUUGUGAUUUUUGUAAUUUUUUUAUCGUCACUGCUUAACUUCACAUAUUGAUUUCCGUUAAAAUACCAGCCAGUAAAUGGGGGUGCAUUUGAGGUCUGUUCUUUCC